UACGUAGGGUGCAAGCGUUGUCCGGAAUUAUUGGGCGUAAAGAGCUCGUAGGCGGUUUGUCGCGUCGGCUGUGAAAACUCGGGGCUCAACCCCGAGCCUGCAGUCGAUACGGGCAAACUAGAGUGUGGUAGGGGAGACUGGAAUUCCUGGUGUAGCGGUGAAAUGCGCAGAUAUCAGGAGGAACACCGGCGGCGAAGGCGGGUCUCUGGGCCAUAACUGACGCUGAGGAGCGAAAGCGUGGGGAGCGAACAG
rnacentral:rRNA from 1 species